CUUUGACAAUCACAUGGUGUGAUUGACAGUUGCCAAGACAAAGAUUGGAGAAAUAAAUG
rnacentral:ncRNA from 1 species